GCAAGAUUAAAACUCAAAGGAAUAGACGGGGACCCGCACAAGUGGUGGAGCACGUGGUUUAAUUCGAAGAUACGCGAAGAACCUUACCUAGCCUUGACAUUGAUAGAAUCUUCCAGAGAUGGAGGAGUGCCUUUCGGGGAACUUGAAAACAGGUGCUGCACGGCUGUCGUCAGCUCGUGUCGUGAGAUGUUGGGUUAAGUCCCGCAACGAGCGCAACCCUCGUCACUAGUUACUAACAGUUAGGCUGAGGACUCUAGUGAGACUGCCUUCGUAAGGAGGAGGAAGGUGAGGACGACGUCAAGUCAUCAUGGCCCUUACGGCUAGGGCAACACACGUGCUACAAUGGUUAGGACAGUGAGAAGCGAUACCGCGAGGUGGAGCCAAUCUAUAAACCUAAUCUCAGUUCGGAUUGUAGUCUGCAACUCGACUACAUGAAGCUGGAAUCACUAGUAAUCGUAGAUCAGCUAUGCUACGGUGAAUACGUUCCCGGGUCUUGUACUCACCGCCCGUCACACCAUGGGAGUUGAUUUCACCCGAAGCGGGGAAGCUAAACUGGCUACCCUCCACGGUGGAAUUAGCGACUGGGGUGAAGUCGUAACAAGGUA
rnacentral:rRNA from 1 species